UACGGAGGAUCCAAGCGUUGUCCGGAUUUAUUGGGUUUAAAGGGUGCGUAGGCGGAUAAUUAAGUCAGUGGUGAAAUCUUGCGGCUCAACCGUAAAAUUGCCAUUGAAACUGAUUAUCUUGAGUACAGUUGAGGUGGGCGGAAUGUAUCAUGUAGCGGUGAAAUGCUUAGAUAUGAUACAGAACACCUAUUGCGAGAGCAGCUCACUAAACUGCAACUGACGCUGAGGCACGAAAGCGUGGGGAUCAAACAGG
rnacentral:rRNA from 1 species